GCCAGCAGCCGCGGUAAUACUAGCUCCAGUAGCGUAUAUUAAGUUGUUGCAGUUAAAAAGCUCGUAGUUGGACUUGUGUGUGUUGCUGUUCAGCGGUCUGCAUUCAAAAAGUGUUACGACAUGCGGCAGUGGCGCCGUAAAAUCUUCAACUGGAUCGUAACUGGACUUAAUUCCUGGUUGCAGUCAUUCGGUUGAUCGUUUACUGUGAGAAAAUUAGAGUGUUCAAGGCAGGCAUUAUUGCAAUUGAAUAUGUUAACAUGGAAUAAUAAGAUAGGGCUCCGGCAUUUUGUUGGUUUCUAGAGCGUGGGAGUAAUGAUUGAUAGGGACAGUUGGGGUGCUAGUAUUCAGCGGCCAGAGGUGAAAUUCAUGGAUUCGCUGAAGACUGACUUAUGCGAAAGCAUUCACCAAGGAUGUCCUCUUUAAUCAAGAACGAAAGUUGGGGGAUCGAAGACGAUCAGAUACCGUCGUAGUCUCAACCAUAAACUAUGUCGACUAGGGAUUGGCAGUCGUUUUUUUAUAGACUCUGUCAGCACCUUAUGAGAAAUCAAAGUGUCUGGACUCUUGGGGAAGUAUGGUCGCAAGGCUGAAACUUAAAGGAAUUGACGGAAGGGCACCACCAGGAGUGGAGCCUGCGGCUUAAUUUGACUCAACACGGGAAAACUUACCAGGUCCAGAGAUGUAGAGGAUUGACAGAUUGAAGCUCUUUCUUGAUCACUUCGGUGGUGGUGCAUGGCCGUUCUUAGUUGGUGGAGUGAUUUGUCUGGUUAAUUCCGUU
rnacentral:rRNA from 1 species